GGGGAUCGUAAGACCUUACGCUUUUGGAGCGGCCGAUGUCUGAUUAGCUAGUUGGUAGGGUAAAGGCUUACCAAGGCGACGAUCAGUAGUUGGUCUGAGAGGAUGGCCAACCACACUGGGACUGAGACACGGCCCAGACUCCUACGGGAGGCAGCAGUGGGGAAUUUUGGACAAUGGGGGCAACCCUGAUCCAGCAAUGCCGCGUGAGUGAAGAAGGCCUUCGGGUUGUAAAGCUCUUUCAGUUGAGAAGAAAAAGUUAUGACUAAUAAUCAUAAUUCAUGACGGUAUCAGCAGAAGAAGCACCGGCUAACUACGUGCCAGCAGCCGCGGUAAUACGUAGGGUGCAAGCGUUAAUCGGAAUUACUGGGCGUAAAGGGUACGCAGGCGGUUAUGUAAGUCAGAUGUGAAAUCCCCGGGCUUAACCUGGGAAUUGCGUUUGAAA
rnacentral:rRNA from 1 species